CCUCUUUUUUGUAUUGGUGAAGGAUCAAAUUAUGCUAAUUCCAUUUCUCAUCCUUUAUAUAAGUUUGAAUCCUUCACCUUUCUCAACUAUAUUUCAUCUGUGAGCUUCUCUUUCCAUGCAAAGAAAAUGGGAAACUCAGUUGGCUGUUUCAGCUCAACCCAGAAGGAGCUGAGAAAGAAAACCUCCAAACAUGAUCCUUACUUUUCACCACCUAAUUCAUUAGCUUCCUCCUCUUCCAAUAGAAAAGAUCAUGGC
rnacentral:misc_RNA from 1 species